rnacentral:rRNA from 1 species
CACGUGAGGGGCAAGCGUUGUCCGGAAUCAUUGGCGUAAAGAGCUCGUAGGCGGCUCGGUAAGUCGGGUGUGAAACCCCCAGGCUCAACCUGGGGACGCCACCCGAUACUGCUGUGCUAGAGUCAGUAGGGGAGUGUGGAAUUCCCGGUGUAGCGGUGGAAAUGACGCAGAUAUCGGGAGGAACACCAGCGGCGAAGGCGGCACUCUGGGCUGGAACUGACGCUGAGGAGCGAAAGCGUGGGUAGCAAACGAGG